CCAAUGCCAGGGUCAGGAUUAGGACCAGGAAAGAAUGAAAGUCAAGUUUCCACAGACGACAGUGAACACUCCUCCAGAUCGCUCAGAAGUAAAGCACACAGCAAGUCCAAAGCUGCUCCGUGGACCUCAUUUCUUCCUCCACCACCCCCAAUGCCAGGGUCAGGAUUAGGACCAGGAAAGAAUGAAAGUCAAGUUUCCACAGACGACAGUGAACACUCCUCCAGAUCGCUCAGAAGUAAA
rnacentral:sRNA from 1 species